UACGGCGGUCAUAGCGAAGGGGAAACGCCCGGUCCCAUUCCGAACCCGGAAGCUAAGCCCUUCAGCGCCGAUGGUACUGCACUCGACAGGGUGUGGGAG
rnacentral:rRNA from 1 species